rnacentral:rRNA from 1 species
CCCGCAGGGAGCUAUCUGCAGUCGAGCGAACGACGAGGAGCUUGCUCCUUUGACGUUAGCGGCGGACGGGUGAGUAACACGUAGGUAACCUACCUAUAAGACUGGGAUAACUUCGGGAAACCGGAGCUAAUACCGGAUAAUAUUUCGAACCGCAUGGUUCGAUAGUGAAAGAUGGCUUUGCUAUCACUUAUAGAUGGACCUGCGCCGUAUUAGCUAGUUGGUAAGGUAACGGCUUACCAAGGCAACGAUACGUAGCCGACCUGAGAGGGUGAUCGGCCACACUGGAACUGAGACACGGUCCAGACUCCUACGGGAGGCAGCAGUAGGGAAUCUUCCGCAAUGGGCGAAAGCCUGACGGAGCAACGCCGCGUGAGUGAUGAAGGUCUUCGGAUCGUAAAACUCUGUUAUUAGGGAAGAACAAACGUGUAAGUAACUGUGCACGUCUUGACGGUACCUAAUCAGAAAGCCACGGCUAACUACGUGCCAGCAGCCGCGGUAAUACGUAGGUGGCAAGCGUUAUCCGGAAUUAUUGGGCGUAAAGCGCGCGUAGGCGGUUUUUUAAGUCUGAUGUGAAAGCCCACGGCUCAACCGUGGAGGGUCAUUGGAAACUGGAAAACUUGAGUGCAGAAGAGGAAAGUGGAAUUCCAUGUGUAGCGGUGAAAUGCGCAGAGAUAUGGAGGAACACCAGUGGCGAAGGCGACUUUCUGGUCUGUAACUGACGCUGAUGUGCGAAAGCGUGGGGAUCAAACAGGAUUAGAUACCCUGGUAGUCCACGCCGUAAACGAUGAGUGCUAAGUGUUAGGGGGUUUCCGCCCCUUAGUGCUGCAGCUAACGCAUUAAGCACUCCGCCUGGGGAGUACGACCGCAGGUUGAAACUCAAAGGAAUUGACGGGGACCCGCACAAGCGGUGGAGCAUGUGGGUUAAUUCAAAGCACCGCAAGAAC